UGCUUUGGGGGCGAGGUGUGUGUAAACCUGGGGGAGAAUACCUGCUUUUCUCCCCUCGGGCUGCUCCGGCCCAGCUGGGUGAGCAGCUUAAAGCACCGCCAGCACGGAGGUGUCAGAGCCUGCGAGGCAGGGAGAGAAAAGCCAGGCUUGUGUGGCGAUGGGAAAGGAAAACAAGGUGGGGAAGGGGCUCGAUGUGAACUGCCUGAGGUCACCGAAGGGGUGGCAGAAACGCCUCCAGCUCCCGUGCUUCCAGUGCUGGCUGCACCGUGCUUGGUAUUUGGGGGAAUACUUAGGUUUUUUAAUAAAAGCGAUCAAAUUAUUGCAAAGAAACAAAAGGUGGAUCUUUUAAAUGGAUGGAUACGAUGGGUGUUGAUAUAAUAUCUAUUUUUACUUGGAUAAAAAACAGUUUACCGUAAAGCAUCAUUUUCUUUUGCACUCAGAGUGAAGGAGCCCAGAUCGUUAUCCAGAGCUGCUCUAGGCACUGCUUGCAGCCAGCCGUGUAGCAUCAGCCUGCUUCGAAGGCUUUUCUUAGUGCUUUGGGGGGAAAAUAACACCCAGUGGGCUGCCGCUGCUUCGAUGCAGCACUCUGUGAGCGCUUCCCCGUGCUUGGUGGGCUGGGGCAGCCCCUUCCUGAGCCGCCAGCUCACCGCGCUGGCAGUCACAGGUCUGCUGCUGGGGAGAGCUCCCAAAACCAGGGCAGCCCCCAUCUCGGCCCAGGAACUGCUGAUUCCUGUUCUCUUUCCACAUUUCCUCCUCCGAAAGCCACCGUCGGGUGCUGCCGAGGCAGGCGGCGAGGCUCAGCGUCGGCUCUGGGAUGGCUGGCGCUUCGCGGAUGGCCCUGGAGAAGGUGCAGGAGGACAGCCCGCAGGUUUCGCUCGGGCCUCUGCCUGUGUCUGACGGCUCUGCGGGCGGCGUGCGCCAUCCUCCUGCAGCCUGUGCCCUGUGCCGCCGGAGGAUUAAUUGCUCGGCAUCUGCCUAACCUCAUUUCCUGUAGAAACCUCCCUGCCGGAGACCUGCUGCUGUUGUUUUGCCUUCCAAACCCAUCCGAUUUGGAAAAAAAAGAACUCGGUUCUACUUUGCUGGGCUGUUGCACCGUCCUUGAUGGAUCGCUGAAAUGCUUAGAACACGUUAGCACUAAUUUCCUGUGUUAAAGCUUAUCUGGGCUCCUGGCGGUGCGAACUUUCAUGGUUAUCAGCUGGAGACCUCUUAAAAUCUUGCCAGAAAUCCUGCUUGCCCAAAGGGUGGGGAUUAUCUUCCAACAAAAUGACCUUUAUGUGGCACGGAGAAGUUGGGAACAUAAUUGGGAGGGCCGGGGGGACCGACCGGUGGUGAUUUCUUAGAUCCUGAAAUUCUGGGUAGGAAGCAUGUUUGGGGUCCCCGCAGAACCGAAAGUUCAGCGCUGGUUGGUUUCUAAACCCCACUCCUGAAAGUGGGUUUCCGCUGCUUCCCUCAGUGAAAGCAAGGCAGUCGUCAGCGAUGAUCUCAGCCGCAUUUUGAGCAAGUUCAAAAUAUUGCUGCAGUAGGGAAGCAGAAGUUGUGGCAGAUUUUUAUCGGUGGGAUGCUCGAGAAUGGGUUCAGCCUCAUGCCGGGGCCUUGCACCUUGUGUGGUGAUGACGGUGGCUUCAGAAAAAGUCAAAAGCUUGAGUGUAAUUUAAAUUGCUGCUGGUGGCCCCAAAUGCUUCUUAAGACCUUUUGAACUGGAAAUCUCCUUAUCCGCCUGUACAACGUCCGUGCCGCACUGCGUACCGUGAUGAGGAGCCCUGUGGACGGAGGAAGGCCCCCGCAGCGAGCUCUUUUCCAGCCCAGCAGGUUCCCUGCGCCCAGGUAAGCUCUGCAGGCUGCACGGCGCCCUUGGAGCGGAGAUGCUGUGCAUCUCGUGACGUCCUGGCGACGUUGCUGGGGCUGCGUUUUGUGUCCGCUCCGGCGUGCGGCUGAGAGCACGUCAGGGCAGGAUGGAGCCCCAGGUGAUGAUGCAGGGCUGUGAGGUGCAGCUCCUGGACCUCGUACUUCAGAGGAAUUAACUCAGAAAGAUGGCUGGGAGAAGGCACGACGUGCUCUCGUGUAACCACGGAGCACGGGUAGGGUCGUGCCCACUGCAUCUGAACUCCAUGCAAGGCUCUGGGGUUAAUCCUCCCUACUGAAUGGCUUUGGGGAGCUCCAGCUGAGAGCUGUGUUUUUGCUCUUGGAAGCUGCCUUCGGAAGCAUCUGGCGCUCUUCGGGGAUUAAGCACAGGUUCUUAGACAGAGGUUAGGAUUAGCAAGGAAGGAAGCAGGAGCCCACAGUUUGGGCUCAGGCAGCAGUUCCUUAGGAAGCAGGAUGAUGGUAGCAGAAGAGCUGCUUGCGGGUCCCAGAGUGCUCCUGUCCUCUUCUCCCUGCUGGCACAAGGAGGGAAGCACAGCGAGGAAACACCAAGAAACCCCAACCAUGGACUGUGACCAUGCUCGGCCCUUGUGGGUGGCUUGGAGAGGCACGGGGCUGGUGGUGGAAGCUCGCUGCCUGCUCCUCCCCACGGCUGCUGCCUCAGCUCGGUGCCACCGGUGAGAAAAGGGCGCUGAGAAUCGCAGCGGAGCGUUAAGGAAGGUUCCUCUGCUCAUAAGCCUUCAAUGGGUUUAAUUACUUGGCAGUAACUUCUUUAAACCGUAUUUGAGUUGAAGCUAAAUGUUUUGGCUGGUUAUGUCACCGCUGUAUUAGCGAGGAAUGCAGGAGAGAGUGCUAGUUUGUAUUAACGGAGCUGCCUUAAUCCUUCGUAGCCGUGCUUUUUAACGUGUUGCUGUCUUACAGGGAGAGAAAACAUUUGCCCAUGAGACAGCAGAGCUCGCUCCUCAGCGUUUCUGCGUAAGGCAAAUGUUCUUUGUCCUUAAUAAGGACUAAGAAAGUUCUCGGUAGUGGGUGUCCAUAAUUAAUGGUCAGCGUGCAUGAGUGCUGGGUGGCCAACUGUCUGCAUCUGAGGUCUGGCUUUUUGUAAAUACUUUUUCCUACAAUCCUCCUCCAUUUAUGGGUGGGUUGGAAGCCUGACCCCAUUUUUAGUGGUUCCAUACAGCCUUCAGCCCCGAUGUUUCCCUAACAAUGGCCCUGUUGGCCUGGGGUGACUCCAGCACGCACACCUCUCGCGUUCGCCGUCCAGGUCAGCAAAAGUUUUCUUGUGAGCACGCGUAUCUUUGCUGUCCUGACAAGAGAGAAAUUUGUUUAACCUUCUCACGGAUGAUUUGUUAAGAAACCUCACCCUUACCUUGCCUUACAUGUUUGUUUAACCUUAUCAGAGCUUACUGAGCUGACAUGCUCGGUUUUAUAUCCUUCUCCUGUUGAAGACACUUCCUAACAUCUUUGGCCAAGGGGAACUUCAUUAAAGACAAAAAAAAGCAAAAACCAACCAAGAGACAGUAGCGGGUUUAAUCUUCACAAAGCAGCAGGGCUUUUGCCUCCCUGGGAAUAUUACGAAGCUGUGACUUUUCCAGAUUUUGAGCAGAGCGAUUUUUUUGUGACUUUUCCAAAUAAUCUUUCUCCCCCUUCUCUGGCUCCUUGGCAUUGAAACCGUGCUGCAGUCGCCGCGAGAGCCUCCUGCAGCUGCGUGUCGCCUCGCCGCUGCGUUGCAACGGGCCCAGCUGCAAGCGGAGCCACCUCCGAUCCCGUGGAAUAACGUGAGCAGCCGAGUCCCGACGUCUGCUGCUGGUAUCGUCACCGCUGCGUGCGCUUGUCCGGGGGAGAAAGCGUCCACGUGGCUCCUUAUCUGUUCCGGGCCAAAAAUAACACCGCGGCUCCUGCGGCCUCAAAGAACGAGCCUGGUCUCGGAGCGGGGGACUAGGGUGAAGGUGAAAAGGAUAACUGAUGGGGUAAAAGGCAGGACUGGGGGCCUGAGGGUUAGGAUGGCAGGGCUCAGGACCGCGGGGACGAGUCCCUGCUGACCCGCAGCUCUGCCCUCCCUGUGCCACGCAGCGCGGGUUUGCUGCGGGAGGAAGAUGAGAGGUGAGGGCAGUGUCACCUCCGUGCCGUCGCGGCACGGCUCCCCACGGACCCCCGCGGGGCUCUGCAGGUCGUGUCUGCGUCCCGCCAUCUGCCCUCGCGGCUCCCGGGGCGGAGGAAGCGUGAAACGCGCGGCCCCGCUCGCUCGGCUAGGUGGUCGGGGACAGAAAAUGCCUUGUUCCCCGUCAGCCCGCACAAAGGCUGCUUUAUAGGCGCUUGGCCGUACGUCUGCCGAGGUGCCUCAGCCUGCUAGCAGUGGUUGCUGCUGGAGGUAUGCAGGCGCUGGGGCUGCGAUGGACAGGGGGAUGUUGUUCGCGCGCUGCCUCCCCUUCCUUCUGAGGGCAGGGAGCCGCGCGGCGGCCCGGUGCUCGUGGUGAUGGAGCGGUGCCUCGGAGGCUUUCCCUGCGAAAGCAGGACUGGAACCCUCCCGUCACACGCGUGGGGACGGACCUGGCCCGAAACGCAGCCUGCGCCAGUGUGGAGGGACCCCUGUCCCCAGCAGGGCACGUCCCAGCUGGAAGGGAUCCCCGGCUUCGUAAAGUUUUUGAUUUUCUUUGCAGCCUCUGGAUCGCUUUCCCCCCCGUCUUUCCCCUCCCCAGCUUCUUGCCCCGUCUGCCCGAAGUCAUUUUUCUCCUGUCCGUGUCCUCGUGCUGAUUUCACACAGAGGCUUGGCUGCAACCAGCCCUGCCCCGAAACGCACACUCAUCGUUUGAAACCUAGGGGAGGGAGCGAAGGGAGAGAGGCGGCGUCGGCUGGCGGAGCCCUGCUAAGUGCUCGCUCUCUGAAGUUCGCCUCCUUUGGCUUUUAGGCAUCUUCACAGUUUGCCAUCUCCUGCCUCCUGUGUUUGGUUUUCUUUGCCUUUUUUUUUGUUUUUAACCCCCCAAAGCUAGCUGACAGCCCUCCAGUUCCGUUCCCAAAUAGCAUUCUCAUGCUGUCACCGCUGGCUCUGGGACUCGAGGGAGAGCUUGGGUGGAAAAACAGCUUCUCAUCGAAUUACCAAGAGAAGGAUCUCAUGGGAUGAAGGAAGAGCACAGGAGGGACGUGCCCUGUUUCCCAUUAAGCUCUUUCCCUUUAACAUUUUCUUGUGCUCCAGUAGCAUGGAUAAAUAUUGAAAACUGGAAGCUGAAUGUGUCAAAAGGUGCCAUGGGGCAGGUCCGGGGUACGAGCCACCGCCGGCUCUGUGUCCUUCGAGAGCGGCAGCUCUGCCCUGGGGACGUGUGCCCCCACUUGCUCUGUCCUCUGGGGACUGUGGUGCUCUCGCUGAAGGUUGCUUGGGCUUUGAAGACGCAUUUAAGCUUUCUGCCGCCUCUCUCACAAGCGGGUGAGAAAUUACUUUUCGACUUAAUUUCAGACUGGCUGUCGUUCUCAAGCAAGCCUGGAGAAGCGCGGUUUUGACCUUGCUGGCGGGGAAAACUUGGAGGAACCAGAUUUCCCAGGACGCUGAGGGAGGAUUCUUAGGUCUAGAAUCCUGUGCUUCGGCAUCAAAGCGCCUGCAAACCUUCCCGUGCCCCCUCGGUGGAAGGAGAGCUCUCCUGCACGGCACAGGGUUAUCCCCGGGGCACCGCAGGAGGAACCGUCAGGGCAAGGUGGGGAGUCCAGGAGGUCCUGGCCCGGUGUCCCGCAGCCAAACCACACCUCCCCUCCCCUCCUGCACCAGUCACUUCAAUUAAAAUUCCACCGUCAGGGCCGAAGUGAGGGCAGGCAGGAGCAGACUUGUUUUCGGGAGGGAGGACUGAAUUUUCUGCCGGAAUGGGCCUUUUCUCAGGGUGAGCUCAGGAAAUGCUCCCCCCCCACCUCCUCCACCGGUUCGGUGCAGAAAAGCCACAGGUCGAAAUUGCAAAAAAUAAUCAGCAUUGUCUGCUUCGGAUCCCAGAGGGCAUCAAAGAGCGAACGAAUUGAGGAGCCCUGCAGGGACAAAGCUGCGGUUCUCCGGCAGCCUCUCUGAACCAGAGCCCAGGGCACUCAUUGAAGGCAAUUUGUUAAUGAAGAUCGGGGGAGCCGAGCAGGAGAAGAGAUCCCCCCCGGCACCGGGAGCAGCGUGCAGGGUUGGGGAGCAACCUCCUGGAGGUGAAAGGUGGCGAAAGCAAGAGAGCCAGAGCGAAACCCAGGGGGGUCGUAGCGCGGUGGAGUCUGAGAAAUUCCAAAUAUUCUAAACAGAGGUCCCAUGAGCAGAGAUACGAGGGAACCAAAUUCCUUUGGCGUUUGCAACGUCAGGCUGGCUGAAGUAGCCGCUCUUGUGCAAUGCUCUGCUGGAUGGUUACUGAGCAAACGCUGCUCCUUCUGCGGCUCACGGCAAACCAAUUUGUUUCCAGCCACCCGUGUAAAGCAGGUAGCUGUGGCACGGGUGCUCAUGUGCAAAGGGUCAGCGCAGCGACACGAGUUGAGGUUGGAAGUGCUGGAGGGUGGAGGAGAAGCAGGCUUGCAGUUCCUGAGCAAACUGUCUCGUUGAGGAGUGUGAAGACGAGGCAGACCUUCACGGCCCCCUAGUUGCCGGCGGUUUCUCCGCGAAAUAACCUUGGUUGAUGCAGGUCCGUUGUAACUCUCACCCCCUCAGCAAGCUGCUGGAGGAACCUGCUGGCAGCGUCUCCAGGUAACAGCGGCAAGCAGGCGAUGCUGACAGGAUUUCACUUACCACACGUGAAAUACAUGAAAUGCCCGCGGGAUGGCUGCAAGCAGGCGGCUGGAGGAGAGGCCAGCGGGCAGCUCUCUGCGCCGGGGCAGCACCUCGGCUUCCCGGCACCCUCCAUCGACACAGCUCGGGAUGAGGGCUUUUUUCUUGUCCUUUCUUUCUCUGUUUUUUAACCGAUUUCUAGGAAAUGCAAGAUGAAGUGGGCUUUGUUUGGACCCUCCCCAGCAGACACUUUAUCACGCCGGCGAGGCGGCGCUGGGUGACGCAGCACAGAGGCAGACUUGUUGCUCGCUGCAACCGCUGCUGCCUUCACAGCCGGAGAGAGCCGGGCUGCGAGCUCGCCUGAAGCACUCCAGGGCUAAAUCUGCUGCUAAAGCCCUUUCAGGGGAAAUCCUUGUGGCAGAAGGAUUUCAGGUUUAUUAAUUGGUCUAAUUUCUCUACCGAGUGAAAGAGGUCUUAAAUCAUUCCGAUAGUGAGGAGUCAGGUCCAGGUAAAUUUAUAUUUAAUGAGAUAACAUUAUAAUGAAAGAGAACGUUUUAGCUGUACAGAAAUGUCUUAGUAAAUGCCUUUCACAGUCC